rnacentral:rRNA from 1 species
AUGCGAACGGAAAGCGACGCCGCGGUCCAGUUCGGAAAGGCCCCUUUUCCCCGGGCCCUUUACGCGCAGCAAGCAGUCCAACUUUAUAAAUUAAUGUCGGCCCGGCCCCAACGACGCCACCCAAAAGGAAAUGGGACACGCAUAAAACAACAAGGACGCCAACAAAAUAACAAGAGCAGAAUUCUAUCCCCCGGAAGAACAGGCGGAGGGGAGGCGAGGAGAGGAGAACGACGAGAGCGAGGACCCGAUCCCCGCCGUGCCGUCUCCUCCGUGUUUCCGAUCGAUCGCCCGGUCCUCCGGCUAGAAAUGGCGCAAGAGAGUUGGAAAGAGGCAGAGGAUACGGGUGUCCACGCGCCCGAGGCUCCGAUAAUGUGCAUGAACAACUGUGGCUUCUUCGGCAACCGGAUGACCGAAAACAUGUGCUCGAAGUGUUACCGAGACACUGUCAAGGCCAAGAAGAUGGCCCUUCUAGUUGAGAACAAAACUGCCGCUGCUGUUGCAUCGUCACCCACACCAUUGGUGGCCGAGAUCAAGGAUGAAGCGUCUGCCUCAGCCAAAGAAGGAAAACAAGUAGCCGAGGAGGAGGCGCCGAAGCCACCGAGCAACCGCUGCCUGUCGUGCCGGAAGAAGGUCGGGCUGACGGGGUUCAAGUGCCGCUGCGGAGACACCUUCUGCUCGAUGCACCGCUACGCCGACGCGCACGAUUGCAAGUUCGACUACAAGCAGGCCGGCAGGGAGCAGAUCGCCCAGCAGAACCCCGUGGUCAAGGCUGACAAGGUCACCAGAUUCUGA